rnacentral:rRNA from 1 species
AGGAUGAACGCUAGCGGCAGGCCUAACACAUGCAAGUCGAGGGGUAGAGUUAGCUUGCUAACUUGAGACCGGCGCACGGGUGCGUAACGCGUAUGCAAUCUGCCUUGUACAGGGGGAUAGCCCAGAGAAAUUUGGAUUAAUACCCCAUAGCGUUAUGAUGUGGCAUCACAUUAUAACUAAAGUUCCAACGGUACAAGAUGAGCAUGCGUCCCAUUAGCUAGUUGGUGUGGUAACGGCAUACCAAGGCAAUGAUGGGUAGGGGUCCUGAGAGGGAGAUCCCCCACACUGGUACUGAGACACGGACCAGACUCCUACGGGAGGCAGCAGUGAGGAAUAUUGGUCAAUGGGCGCAAGCCUGAACCAGCCAUGCCGCGUGCAGGAUGACGGUCCUAUGGAUUGUAAACUGCUUUUGUACGGGAAGAAACACUCCUACGUGUAGGAGCUUGACGGUACCGUAAGAAUAAGGAUCGGCUAACUCCGUGCCAGCAGCCGCGGUAAUACGGAGGAUCCAAGCGUUAUCCGGAAUCAUUGGGUUUAAAGGGUCCGUAGGCGGCCUUAUAAGUCAGUGGUGAAAGCCCAUCGCUUAACGAUGGAACGGCCAUUGAUACUGUAGGGCUUGAAUUAGUGGGAAGUAACUAGAAUAUGUAGUGUAGCGGUGAAAUGCUUAGAUAUUACAUGGAAUACCAAUUGCGAAGGCAGGUUACUAUCACUAUAUUGACGCUGAUGGACGAAAGCGUGGGGAGCGAACAGGAUUAGAUACCCUGGUAGUCCACGCCGUAAACGAUGGAUACUAGCUGUUC